rnacentral:rRNA from 1 species
UACGGAGGGUGCAAGCGUUGUCCGGAUUUACUGGGUUUAAAGGGCGUGCAGGCGGAUAUGUAAGUCAGUGGUGAAAUCUCCGGGCUUAACCCGGAAACUGCCGUUGAUACUAUAUAUCUUGAAUGCUGUGGAGGUAAGCAGAAUAUGUCAUGUAGCGGUGAAAUGCUUAGAGAUGACAUAGAAUACCUAUUGCGAAGGCAGCUUACUACGCAGAUAUUGACGCUCAUGCACGAAAGCGUGGGGAUCAAACAGG